rnacentral:lncRNA from 10 species
UAACAGAGGCAUAGCAACCAGAACAGAGAAGGGACUGCCCUACCCUGCUCCACACUCAGCCAGACCCAGCUGGAGCUCUAGGACCUUUCUGACACUUUGGGGGCUGGCACCCAGCACUGUGCUAUCCUAGGAAGAAACAGCUAAAUCCCAAUGAAAGUCUCUGCUCACCACCUCCCCUGCUCCUGCCCUGGCCUGGGCUUGGGGGGACCCAGAGAGACGUCCAUAGGGUUCUGCCCUCCUGGAUUCUCUGGCUCAGACGAUGGCCCCAUCAUAUACUCCUGCAGCCAAGGCAGAAAUCCAGGCAUCAGCCCGGACUCUUCCCUCACGCCCCCUCGUGUGCCCCCUUCUGUUUUCCUGCAGUGCCCUGAUGUCCUCUGUUGCAUUGUUUAUCAUCUUUUAUUGUAAAGGCUCCAAUUGUCCAUUUCCCCAUCUAGAUGCAAUGAAGGCAGAGGCUGUGUCUAUCUUGUUCCCUGCUGUAUUCUGGGCACCUGGCACAGUGCCUGGCACUUAACAGGUGCUAAUUAAACACUGUUGAUUGAAUUACUUAGUCCCUUUGAUUCCAUUUGCUUGAUACUCAUUGAAUCCAUACCCUCCUGUCUCCCCCAGCCGCAGUCUUUGCUCAGAUAAUUCCACCUGGGCACUGGAGCAGUUUUCUGACUGGGCUGCUUAUCUUACCUCCACCAUUCAGUCUAUUUUCCACAUUAUAGCUGGAGUGGUCAUUCUAAAGUGCCCAUCUAUCCUACUCUGAAUCCUUCCCUGGCUUCCCAUUACUUACAG